rnacentral:rRNA from 1 species
UACGGGGGGGGUAAGCGUUGUUCGGAAUUACUGGGCGUAAAGGGCUCGUAGGCGGCCAACUAAGUCAGACGUGAAAUCCCUCAGCUUAACUGGGGAACUGCGUCUGAUACUGGAUGGCUUGGAUUUGGGAGAGGGAUGCGGAAUUCCAGGUGUAGCGGUGAAAUGCGUAGAUAUCUGGAGGAACACCGAUGGCGAAGGCAGGUCUCUGGGCCGAUACUGACGCUGAGGAGCGAAAGCGUGGGGAGCGAACAGG